UACGUAGGGGGCAAGCGUUGUCCGGAAUCAUUGGGCGUAAAGAGCGCGUAGGCGGCCAGAUAAGUCCGGUGUGAAAGUCACAGGCUCAACCUGUGAAUGCCGCUGGAAACUGUCUGGCUAGAGUCCGGUAGGGGCGAGUGGAAUUCCUGGUGUAGCGGUGAAAUGCGCAGAUAUCAGGAGGAACACCAAUGGCGAAGGCAGCUCGCUGGAACGGUACUGACGCUGAGGCGCGAAAGCGUGGGGAGCGAACAGG
rnacentral:rRNA from 1 species